UCCGGGGCGUGGGCAUCUCAAAGACCUCGGUCGCCAUCCAUAUCAGGCCCCUACCCCUGCCUUGCUUCAUCCUCGUGUUCUCUUCCCGGCGCGCCCUUCCCCUGUCUCCUCUUCGCCGGGGUUAUCAGCGACGGCUUUUGGGGACGCACACGGAAGCCGCGGCGGAUCAAGAAGGAGCUCGCCCCCAUGCGGACGGCGGGGCGCCGACGGCCUGAUGAUGGGCAGGCCGAGUGUGAAUGCGUCCGGUGGCCGGCUGUGGGGGUUGUGACUGCACUUGGCCGUAGGAGAUCAGGUGUCCAACCAUUAAUUUUUCGUGAGGAGACGUACCUAAUUUCAGGACUACAUGUCAGUUAUUCAGUUUGUGGCAGGAGCAUAAAAGGGGAUAAGAUCACCUCAGAGUGCCCUCUAACACGAAGAUCCCAACGUAUAGGAGGGCCUAUCCAACCAGGAGGAGGUGGCCGCAGAAUCAGCACCGGCGACAAUCAUGGUGAAUGUGAUGUGCUUGGCGUGGUGGCGGUCCCCGGAAAAGUGGAGGGCCGCCGCCGUGGUGCUAGACUUGGAGCAUGCAUGUGUCGGUUAAAAUGUGGCAGCAACCUGGUUAUCUUACACGAUAUUUGAAAGUGUUUUCCAUGACCCAACAUUUUUGGUGAGUUCAGUUUUACUAAUUUAUUCUAUGUAACUUCUCUGUUCUUAUCAAGUUGGAGUUGAGGAAGUAAGCUUCUGGGACAGGGUACCAUGCAUGAAUGCCCAAACUGUCAGUACUUAUCUUGCAUCAUCAUGUUAAUUAAUCUCACUGAGCUUUAAUAUUCCUUUUAUCAUAUGUAUUAUCUUGGUGCAAGCAGGUGCAAAAUGACUAAUGUAAGGCAACCGUGACAUGAUUUGCGCUGUAAGAUUGAUGGACCAGCUAUUUUGAGCAAACGUCGGAGAAAGGCAUCCAAAUUCAUGGAUACUUAGUCCUUCGACCAAUGUUCCAAAUGAUCAUGUCAGUUUGCGGGUUUCAAAAGAGGAAGAUCAUGAAAAUUGGCAUUAUUUGUGCUGCUUCUUUUUCUGAAUUAUCCGCAUCACAAUCACUUGAGUGUACUGUUUUUGCAGUUUUCAAACCAUCCAUUAUUGACACCUACAGGAAUCAAUAUUAAUGUUUUUUAUUUUAAAAGUGAAUUUUACAAUAAAUGAACAAAGGAGCAAGGGACCAUAUAGGCUGGCUUCCACGGUUCUAUUAGGAGCACUGCAUUGUUACUUCUGGUUAUCUAGACAAAUUGAUGCAAGUUUGUAUCGACAUGGUAUAUUACCACGGUACCACCCAAGUUUUGGUUGUGUAUUGUAGUUUAUUUGUUGGCACAAGUACACAAGCUGAAUUUCAUGAUGCAUACUUGCAAUCUUGCUCGGUUGUUGUGAGGAACUUUCGUCUAUUUAUGUUUUCACUAUAGAUUUAGAAUUUUCAUCUACAUCCUAUUCUUUCUAAUGGAAGGUGGAUUUUCAUUACAUUUUUACGUUUGUGGUUUAGGUAGGACAGGUGAGCUGAAAAUAGUUUCACAAGUACACUAUAUGUGCCUUUACAUUUUUUCCAUUCUACUUAAGGUAUGUGGUUUUUUAAGCGUCUCAAAUUUUAGUUUGGUUUGAUUUAAUGAUUUAUCACUGUCUGAAACACUAGAGUUGUACUACUUGCAGGGGAAUUCCAGACAGAGUUCAUCCAUUCAGUGAAGGCAUAUGUUCAAAACAUCUGUGGCUUCAGAUUCAUUUGAAACUCUAUUAGGUGAGUGUUGACACUUCCGAAUAAUGUUCAUUCUAGCUAUGAUUGUUUAUGUCAGUAUACAGUUUGCUCUCACCUUUUCCCCAAAGUGCAUGGGUAAGGCAGGCGGCCGCUGCAGCUCGAGCCAUGGCCAUGGCCGGUGCAUGACAGUAAUGAUCAAAUGGUUUGUUGCCUACCUUACGCCGAGGAGGGGUUGCUUCUGUCGUCCUCACCGUCCGUGUCCAGCACCUUGUCCUUGCUCCCUCCAUGGACAAGGUUGUGUCCUGCCCCGACACGCCCAAAUCUGAAGAGGAGAGGAGGAACAAACAGGGCGUCAGUCAGUCAGCCUCUUCGAUUCACGCAUGGGACUCGGCGGAAAUGCCAGUGCCGAGGAGGGAUUCAUCACCUAAUUGGCGCUUCGAGCCGUCGGUGCCCACCGGCGAGGCAAUCUGGUUCUCGGAGGGGCCGACUGCGCACGCACACAUUGGGAUUGGUCAGGAGCGUGGGCGAGAAGGGGAGGUAGGAGGAGGUGAAUGCAGAUGCACGUAGGGAGAGGUGCUUACUGAGCGG